rnacentral:sRNA from 1 species
UGGGUUUAACAAAGGGUUUCUUACAGAGUUUAUUGGCAUUCUGUCCACCUCCCAUCUAUGGAAAUCUUCUCUUUUUCUUUUGUGGAGGUGGGCAUACUGUCAAGUGAGCUCUGUUGGUCUCUCUUUGUAAAACCCUCA